CACGUAGGGGGCGAGCGUUGUCCGGAUUUAUUGGGCGUAAAGAGCUCGUAGGCGGUUUCGUAAGUCGGAUGUGAAAACUCCAGGCUCAACUUGGAGACGCCAUUCGAUACUGCGAUGACUUGAGUCCGGUAGGGGAGUGUGGAAUUCCUGGUGUAGCGGUGAAAUGCGCAGAUAUCAGGAGGAACACCCGUGGCGAAGGCGGCAUCCUGGACCGGCAUUGACGCUGAGGAGCGAAAGCCAGGGGAGCAAACGGG
rnacentral:rRNA from 1 species